AGUAUAUAUGCACAGGUAAUCAAAUCGGAAGAUGUUGUUCCAGUAGCCAUGAGCUACACUGUCCAAAUACCAGCAAUCAGAAGAUUACGAGAACAUUUAGCCUCCACCAAGUGAUCAGCAAUAAGUUUAUGCAUCGGCAAUGCUCAUGACCGCAUUGAGAAAGUCUUGUAGGGUACACAAACUUCAUCCGCACACACACCUUCUCCAUUGCAAGCUAGAUCAUCAGAUAACGCAAUGAACUCUUUAGGAGAGGUCGCAAACCAUUGGUCCUAUCUGGUAUUUAGAUGGCACUAAGUAGGUCGUGUCUCCUCGAAGCGCCCCUUUCGAGGGGAAGGGGCCAUGGAAGAGUCUAAAUACUAAACAAUCUCAGCUGGGGUGACCUUUGCUUGCAUGCAGUAGACAACCAAAUCAAGCUCAUGCACUCUCAGGUAUACACCAAUGGUGACAUGUUCCAAGUGUUUUUGAGUCCAUCGGGAUGCCACCAUCACCAUGUCAAGGAUAUUAUGAUAGGGACUAAUCUGAGUUGCUUGCAGUGACCACAUCAGAU
rnacentral:lncRNA from 1 species